GCUUUCCGUGACUAUCACUUCCAUAAUUUCACGACCCCAUAUGGCAAUAAAUGAUUCGUAUGGAGUCGCGAAAGAAACCGUUGGAGCACUGAUUUCGGAGAAAGG